AUUGAACGCUGGCGGCAGGCCUAACACAUGCAAGUCGAGCGGUAGCACAGAGAGCUUGCUCUCGGGUGACGAGCGGCGGACGGGUGAGUAAUGUCUGGGAAACUGCCUGAUGGAGGGGGAUAACUACUGGAAACGGUAGCUAAUACCGCAUAACGUCGCAAGACCAAAGUGGGGGACCUUCGGGCCUCAUGCCAUCAGAUGUGCCCAGAUGGGAUUAGCUGGUAGGUGGGGUAACGGCUCACCUAGGCGACGAUCCCUAGCUGGUCUGAGAGGAUGACCAGCCACACUGGAACGGAGACACGGUCCAGACUCCUGCGGGAGGAAGCAGUGGGGAAUAUUGCACAAUGGGAGCAAGCCUGAUGCAGCCAUGCCGCGUGUGUGAAGAAGGCCUUCGGGUUGUAAAGCACUUUCAGCGGGGAGGAAGGCGAUGAGGUUAAUAACCUCAUCGAUUGACGUUACCCGCAGAAGAAGCACCGGCUAACUCCGUGCCAGCCGCCGCCGUAA
rnacentral:rRNA from 1 species